rnacentral:lncRNA from 1 species
AUUCUCACUUUUAAAAUCUACUUACUUGGCACAGGACGAAUGCAUUGAAUAUUAAAGUGUUCUUGGUUUGACUGUCAAGGGAUUUAGUUUCUUGCUUAGGUAUGAAACUUUCACCAGCGAAGUUCAGAACCAGAAGAACAGUAACUUGAUAGACAGCCUGUGAUGACAAGUAAUGCCAUUAGAGGAUAUAUGAUAAGGAACUACAACAAGUCUCUUACAACACCAAACAAAAAAUAAAUAAAAAUUAAAAAUUAAGAAAAACAAUUACCUGUACAACCAAGUUUCUCCACAUGACAUUCGUUAUAAGAGGUUCCCUGAAAGACAACAUAAGGCCAUGAUAAAAUAAUAUAGAACACUAGAUUGAUUUUCUUUUUGUCCCCCUAAAGCAUCCUUGAAUUCGUCAUGAUAUAUAUUACAACUAAAAUAAAAUAAAUAGAAGGCGCAUAUACAUGUAUGUAUGCACUUAAGCGCCCGCUCAGUGCAUUACUUAUGCCGCAAGAAUACGUUAAACAAAUACUCUUCAUAUCCUUUUAUCUGGCAUUACUUUUUGGUACAUUUUUUUAAAUGAUGUAUCUGGAUAUGUAGCAAAAAAGCCAAAAAGGUGAAAAACAUAAAAUGGAGUAUUAGACUACUCUUCAUGAGAAAACCAACCAAUCAAAACAUAUACAAACCUUCGCCCAACAGGUGCUCUGCGCAUAAGGCUGUCCGUUGGUGGUUCAGUGGCCAGUUAUAGUUUCUUUUUCUUUUUUUUUUUUUUUUCUUUCUAAAAGGUUUUAGAAAUUAUUUACACUUGAUAAAUACUGCACACGACACUUAUGUAGACUUUUUCUAGUAAAGUAUAUGGUUUCUUCAAGUUUUUAAAUUCAUGUUUCUUUCUAGUAGAGUAGAUAGUUGAGACAAAAUUAUUACGCUUGUUAAAAGAUUUAAUAAUUCCUUAUAUUUUAUAUUAUGUUAUAUUUACCAACAUUUAUUAUGAUCAAUUAACAAUUAUAUAUUUGAACAUAUAAGUAAAUUUAAAAAAAUUGAACCUUCACAUUGACAAAAGAAACAACACAAAUUUUUAUAUUUAGAUUUUAUAAAAAUAGUGAUAGAAUUUGGUGUAUUUAAUUUGGAUCUCAUUAUUAUCGAAUGGAGUUAGAUACUAAAUGAGUACAUCAAAAUUAAGUUAUACAAACCAUUCUCACUUUUAAAAUCUACUUACUUGGCACAGGACGAAUGCAUUGAAUAUUAAAGUGUUCUUGGUUUGACUGUCAAGGGAUUUAGUUUCUUGCUUAGGUAUGAAACUUUCACCAGCGAAGUUCAGAACCAGAAGAACAGUAACUUGAUAGACAGCCUGUGAUGACAAGUAAUGCCAUUAGAGGAUAUAUGAUAAGGAACUACAACAAGUCUCUUACAACACCAAACA